rnacentral:lncRNA from 1 species
GUUCCCCUUGUCUCUCUCAAACACUCUCAAACACCCACAUAACCCUAACCACCGCCAACCCUUUUCGAAAUCAAAACCCACCAGAAUCCAUGGCUAGUCUAGCCAUGGACAACCUCUACCCACCAUCUACUCCUCCCACACGCCUACUCACCAAAGAUUCGAGGCUAUUCAUUGAGGGUCUUCACCCAGACUUUAGUCGAUUCAAGACUUUUGGCCUUUUUUAUCCUUGCUCUGCUGUGCCUUAGCUCUUUGAGAUCAGCUCCGACCUUAUCGGCUCAAAUCUGAUCUCAUAACUUUCAAGCCUUCUUGUCCUUUAGGGUUCUCAAAAACCCUAGCCUGUUCGAGGUUCCUUUUCAUUUUAUUCUUAUAGAUCUGUGCUUGAUCUACGCUGUGCGUGACAUUUUAUAUCUUUCCC